rnacentral:rRNA from 1 species
AUGUUAACACUGCAGAUGAAAGACGCGCCCUUGAUCCGUGAUCCUCUUUCCCGCGCAGGAUGUGGACAUGCUUCCCGCGGCGUCAGUGGAGGUACACCGCCAAUCUUGGAUCAAAAGACCAACUCCUGGAAGAAAUUAGUGAACGUUUCUGUGACAGGUGCAACCGGGAUGAUAUCAAAUCAUCUGCUAUUCAAACUUGCCUCUGGUGAGGUUUUUGGACAGGACCAACCAAUAGCACUGAAGUUAUUGGGCUCGGAAAGUUCAGUACAUGCACUAGAAGGUGUAGUUAUGGAACUGCAGGAUUCAUUGUAUCCAUUGCUAAGGGAAGUCAGCAUAGGCAUAGAUCCUUAUGUGAUCUUCGAAGAUGCAGAUUGGGCCCUUCUAAUUGGGGCCAAACCCAGAGGACCUGGAAUGGAGCGAGCUGGCAUAGUAGAUAUCAAUGGUCAAAUCUUUGCUGAACAGGGGAAAGCACUUAACGCUGUGGCAUCCCGGAAUGUGAAAGUCAUAGUUGUUGGGAACCCCUGUAACACUAAUGCUUUGAUAUGCUUGAAAAAUGCUCCUAACUUACCAGCAAAAAACUUUCAUGCAUUGACAAGGUUGGAUGAAAAUAGAGCCAAGUUUCAGCUAGCAUUACAAGCUGGUGUGUUCUAUGACAAAGUAUCAAAUAUGACUAUUUGGGGAAACCAUUCAACAACUCAGGUUCCUGAUUUCUUGAAUGCCAAAAUUAGUGGGAGGCCAGUAAAAGAAGUUAUCAAAGAUACAAAGUGGCUAGAAGAGGAUUUCACUAUAACUGUUCAAAAGCGUGGAGGUGUGCUCAUUGAAAAGUGGGGCAGAUCUUCAGCUGCAUCAACCGCUGUUUCCAUCGUCGAUGCCAUGAGGUCCCUUGUAACUCCUUCCUCGGAAGGGGACUGGUUCUCUACAGCGGUUUAUACGACCGGAAAUCCUUAUGGCAUAGCAGAAGACCUCGUAUUUAGCAUGCCUUGUAGGUCAAAGGGUGAUGGCGACUAUGAACUAGUUCAACAUGUGGCAAUGGAUGAUUUUCUCUGGGACCGGAUCAAAAAGAGUGAAGCAGAACUGAUCGCCGAGAAAAGAUGUGUUGCCCAUCUUAUAGGGGAGGGUAAUGCAUUAUCUGAUCUUCCUGGGGAUACAAUGCUACCGGGGGAGAUGUAG